ACCAAAGCAAAGCUGGUCCCAGUGAAGGCGCCCCCAGCCGUAAGGGAGGCACAGGCGGUUUUAGGAGAGGGAAAGGUUUUCCUUGACGACUUCUAAGUUUGCAUUCUUCUUAAAAAGGGAGGUGCUGGAUGACCCACAGCCUUGGGUCCCCAAGCUCUGAAGCAGCAGGUCUAGGAGGGGAGGCAGACAGUAAUCAAAUAACCGUGCACAUCCAUGUGUGAUGAUGAACUAUGCCAAGUGCCAUGCAAGGAAGCUGGGGGCUUUGACAGCAGAUGAGAACAUUGAAGCCGAGAGAGGUUAAGUGACUUUCCCAAGGUCUUGCUGCCAACCAGUGCAAGAGCACACUCAAACUUGCCAUUCCUGACUCCAAAGUGCCUACUUUUAACCUCUUCCAUUCCUUCCUCUCCUCUCUCCCUUCGGUUCUUCUCUUCCUCCUUCUCUCCCUCUCUCUCCCUUCCUGGCUUCUAUAGACAUGUACAAGCUCACAGUGAACUGGAGGCUGGUUAUUCACACUCUGCCAUUGCUCUGUGCUUUACACGCGUGUCGUUUCAUAACAAGGAUGUGAUUCACGCUCAACUUUGGAGGACACCUCUAUCCGUAUAACGUUGCCAAGUUCCUCAGCAAAUGUUAAGGUGUUGAGGGAGAAUCACUGACAUUUCGGAGUUGGGAGUGCACCCUCUUCUUUUCACACAGACGGAAUGAGGCCCGGAGAGGAGAGAAGGUUUGUCUGGUAUGAGGUGGAUCGCCAGCCAAGGAGCGAAGACCAGAAACCGGAACCCCCCCCACCCCCCGCCCCGUGAUCCUUACCCCAUUGCAGCCACCACCCAGGGCACACAGCCCACUCUGAGAAAUCAGGGAAUCCCUUAGAAGACCAGGACACCCCAGGAAUGCAAUAGAAAGGAUUCCUCAGAUAGACACAGAACCCGUACCCCGGCAGCACAAAGGCACCACCAGCCAUUCUAAGAGCCCUGACCCCCACCCCCACCCCCACCCCACCCCGGGCCUUAGGCUGCCAGAGGAAGAGUCUCUCUUCAGAUGAAUAUGCUGCUUUGCAAGUGCUGUGGAGAAUGACAUUUCUACUUAAAGGGGCCGUAUUUCUACCCUGUUGAGUAGAGGACAGGAAAAGGGGAACCUGAGGGAGGUAAACAUGGCUGAGCCAUAAGGGGCUCCCUUUUCCUCCCUCCUUCCCCGCCUCAGGGCCCAUGCUGGUGGCGGCUGUGGCUGUUGAGUGUUGGCUGAGAUUUCCAAUACCUUUUGGGGUUACCAGAUACGAGAGUCUGAGGCUCCGGAGUCAGGCAGACUUGACUUCCAAACCAGGUCCUGACACCGAAGAGUCUCCGUUUCCCCAUCCCUAAAAUGGGAAUAACAGCCUUACCAUGAAUUUUUCGAGGGUGUUUGGAGAACAAGCCUGAGUUGUCAUAAACACAAAGCAAGCGGUACCAUGUCUGGCAAAGUGGGAAAAUGGAAUGGAAUAAGUAAAAGGCCUGCUCCUGGCACGUCCGCAGAGUUACUGGUUGUAAGUUCCUCGUUCUUCUCAUUUCCCAGGGUUGGGCCUUGGAGGUGGGUGAUUAGGAAAAGAAACUGGGGGUCACUCCUACCUUCACUUUUGAGUCGAGUUCUGAGUUUCUUGUAAAUAGCUAAAGUCAUUUUUCUAAGACAAAUUAAUACAAUUCAAAAAUACCCAGAGUGUGGAAUGGGUUUUUAAAAAAUGGAGGUGGAAUUCACAUUGCAUUAAAGUAACCAUUUUAAAGUGCACAACUAGGGGCGCCUGCGUGGCUCGGUCAGUUAAGUGUCCAACUCUUGAUUUUGGCUCAGGUCACGAUCUCACAGUUCAUAAGAUCGAGCCCUGCACUGGGCUCUGUACUGACAGUGUAGAGCCUGCUUGGGAUUCUCUCUCUGUCUCUCUGUCUGUCUGUCUGCCCCUCCCCAACUUGCUCAUUUUCUCUCUCUCAAAAUAAAUAAACAUUUAAAACAAUAAAGUGUACAACUAAGUGGUAUUUAGUGCAUUCGCACUGUUGGGCAGCCAUCAUCUACAUUAAGUUCCAAAAUGUUCUCAUCACUCCAAAAGAAACAUCUAAAAGUACAUCCCUGUACUUGUCAAAUAGUCACUCCUAUUCCUCCCUUCUGCUCAAGAUUCUGGCAAUCACCAACUGCUCUUUGUCCCUGUGGAUUUAACUGUUCUGGAUACUCCAAACAAAUGGAAGCAGACAGUA